ACACAUGGCAGGCGCCAGCUUGCCGCUCUGGUAGUUUUGGGAAAUCUUCAUUCACAGAGGCACCUCUGCGCGGGUCACCAGUUCGGCACGAGAUCUAUUCAAACCACUUAAGAACACAAGCAGAAGAAGAAGAAGACAUUCUAUUCUCAUAGUUAAGAAGCUACAAUAGAAAAGAGCUACGAGUCUGCACAUUUGCAUCGUAGUACCUGAGCUGCGCGAGUCGUCAAUUCAACACACGAUCUACACGUAAAAAGGUGGUGGUGCCAAGAAAAAUAUCUUUCAUCUCCUCAAAUAUUUCUCCAUUGAAGCAUCAGUACUGCACGGGACACCAGAUAAGAACGCGAUAUAUGCAAAUCAAGAAAAAGUCUCCCAACCUUCGCUUUGCCAGUUCUUGUCUGCCGUAAAUACGUUUUGAUUCAUCUCUCCUAGUUAAGGAGAUAUCAAAGAUUCUUGGAUAUUCGAAUCUUUUCAACUAUUUAAGCAAUGAAGGUCAUAUGUCUUCGUGGACUGCGAACCAAAGCUAACGAUUAAAACCAUACCAUAGAGAAGAAGAAGAAGAAGAAGAAGACAUUCUAUUCUCAUAGCUAAGAAGCUACAAUAGAAAAGAGCUACGAGUCUGCACAUUUGCGCAACGUAGUACCUGAGCUGCGCGAGUCGUCAAUUCAACACACGAUCUACUCGUAAAAAGGUGGUGGUGCCAAGAAAAAUGCCUUUCAUCUCCUCAAAUAUUUCUCCAUUGAAGCAUCAGUACUGCACGGCACACCAGAUAAGAACGCGAUAUAUGCAAAUCAAGAAAAAGUCUCCCAGCCUUCGCUUUGCCAGUUCUUGUCUACCGUAAAUAUGUUUUCAUUCAUCUCUAAAGAAGAAGAUAAGAAGAUAUCAAAGAUUCUUGAAUAUUCGAAUCUUUUCAACUAUUUAAGCAAUGACG